rnacentral:misc_RNA from 1 species
CCUUAAAGAACCUGCCUUUGUAGUGCUCACACAGAUUGUCUGAUGAAAAGUAAAUAGCAAGGCGUCUUACGAUUGAGACUUCAGUGUCCCCUUCGUCUAGAGGCCCAGGACACCGCCCUUUCACGGCGGUAACAGGGGUUCGAAUCCCCUAGGGGACGCCACUUGCUGGUUCGUGAGUGAAAGUCACCUGCCUUAAUAUCUCAAAACUCAUCUUCGGGUGACGUUUGAGAUAUUUGCUCUUUAAAAAUCUGGAUCAAGCUGAAAAUUGAAACGACACACUGUUCAAGUGUGUUCGAGUCUCUCAAAUUUUCGCGACACGACGAUGUUUUACGAAACAUCUUCGGGUUGUGA